rnacentral:rRNA from 1 species
GAUGAACGCUGGCGGCGUGCCUAAUACAUGCAAGUCGAGCGAACAGACGAGGAGCUUGCUCCUCUGACGUUAGCGGCGGACGGGUGAGUAACACGUGGAUAACCUACCUAUAAGACUGGGAUAACUUCGGGAAACCGGAGCUAAUACCGGAUAAUAUAUUGAACCGCAUGGUUCAAUAGUGAAAGACGGUUUUGCUGUCACUUAUAGAUGGAUCCGCGCCGCAUUAGCUAGUUGGUAAGGUAACAGCUUACCAAGGCAACGAUGCGUAGCCGACCUGAGAGGGUGAUCGGCGACCCGGGAACGGAGACACGGUCAAGACUCCUACGGGAGGCAGCAGUAGGGAAUGGGCCGCAAUGGGCGAGAGCCUGACGGAGCAGCGCCGCGUGAGUGAUGAAGGUCCUCGGAGCGUAAAACUCUGUUAUUAGGGAAGAACAAAUGUGUAAGUAACUAUGCACGGCUUGACGGUACCUAAUCAGAAAGCCACGGCUAACUACGUG